rnacentral:lncRNA from 1 species
CUCCCUGGUACCAUACCCCAGCCGAUGAGUAUGUACCCCCAGAAGUACUUCCGCUCAGAGAAGAAGGAGACGGCAAGCAGGGUGUACAGGAAGGCCCAGAACCAGCCUGCUGUCAGGAUCAGAACAAAAGAGGAGGACUGCAUAUGUAUGGACCCACUCCAGAUGGCACGGGGACGGGGGGAGUAGGAAAAGUGGCAUGGUGAGCAGAGCCCUGGCUAUGCAGGUGGCAGAUGACUGAUUAGAAAACCAGCUCAAGGUCAUGUUGCUGCUCUCUCAUUCCUGUUGAGGGCUCUCUGGUGGAGCCUCUGUCUCACAGGUCACCUGCAGGCCAACACUCCCAGAAGCAGCUAGCACCAUGGUUGACCUCGUCCA